AAAUUACCAAAAGUUAAGGCUCUGGUGUGACUUGAUACCAGAUGCUUAUAACUAUGGCUAUAAGCAUGCAGUGACUCAGUGCUGUUUCAGGAAGCCCAACAGACCCUUCUUAGAAAAAAAUCUGUUUGCCUUUUGUUUGAUGAAGGCAUGAAAGCUCUUCUCCCUGUCUUUCCCUAAGGAAUGACUCAUAUAUUAACUCUGCUGAGCAUCACCACAUCAAAAGAAGAAACCAAGGUCUUCAGGACAUCGGGCUGGGUUUUUGCCAAGGAAAAGGGACGGAGACUCACUCUGUCGCCCAGGCUGGAGUGCAAUGGCGCGAUCUUGGCUCACGGCAAACUCCAUCUCCCACGUUCAAGCGAUUCUCCUGCCUCACCCUCCCAAAUAGUUGGGACUACAAGCAUGCGCCACCACACCUGGCUAAUUUUUUGUAUUUUUAGUAGAGACAGGAGUUUCACAAUGUUGGCCAGGCUGGUCUUGAACUCCUAACCUCAAGUGAUCCGCCCGCCUCAGCCUCCCAAACUGCUGGGAUUACAGGCGUGAGCCACCACACCUGGCCAAACAUGCCUUUUAAUAUGGAUUAAUUCAAUAUAAUAAAAAUAGCUUCAAAGACAGUACCUUAUAACUUGGAGCAUGAACUAAUACUAUAGAGUUCAUAUUUCUUUUGUUUUGGCCAGCAAUUUUAUAUUUGCACUUUUAUAGUAUAAUCUCAUAUUUCUACCCUAUGACCUAGGUAACAGGCAUUAUUAGGCUUUUUGUUAAACAAAGGAGGAGAUAGAAGUUACCAACAGUAAUUUACCAACAGAUUUAGAAAACUGAAAUCCACAUUAAUGCAUGCCCCGGUUACUGCUUUUUGACAGUUUGUUUCUUUGUUUUUUGUUUUGGUUUUUGGUUUUUUUUUUUUUUUGAGACAGGGUCUUGCUCUGUCGCUCAGGCUGGAGUGCAGUGGCAUGAUCAUAGCUCACUGCAACCUUGAACUCCUGGGCUCGAGUGGUCCUCCCAUCUCAGCCUCCCAAGUAGCUGGGACUACAGGCAUAUGCCACCACACUGGGCUAAUAUUUUUUCUUAGUAGAGACGGAAUCUCACUGUGUUGUCCGGGCUAGUCUCGAACUCCUGGGCUCAAGUAAUCCUGCUGCCUCGGCCUCUCAAAGUGUUAGGAUUUCAAGCAUGAGACACUGUUCCCAGCCUGUACUGCAUUUUAUAAAGAGAGACCAGAGGCAUAACUUGGGACCUUCUUCACAAAAAGAAUAUAAACACUGGUUAAACUUGUCAGUGCCCAUUGGGAAUCGAUAUUUUACACUCUAGCCUUCUAGAAUUAUUUGCUGUAGACCAUAACCUUGUUUUCUGACUCUAAUGAGAAAAACAAUGAUUAAAAAAAUUCUGAAGAGAAUUCCUGUGUUUGCAAAAGGGUUUCUGAAGUCCCCUGAAAGAAAACAAAGGUUUUGCAAGUCAUACAAACAACCAUUUUUCAUCUUUUUUUGUUUAUUUAUCACCCAGAUAUUCCUAAUGAAUCACAUUCCAGACUAACCACUGACUGCUUUUGUUCCUUAGUGAAGAAGUGUGGCAAAUAAAUGUUUUCCCAGUGAAUCA